rnacentral:lncRNA from 1 species
CCCUGGCUGACUCACCAUUCUGAAGUUCUGCCCAUGAAGGAACCCAGAAUGAGCGUGCCUGAAAAUAAGCAAUCUUCCCCUUCUGAUAUGGUGGUACAGGUGUGCCGAGACAGAGGUACCAGGCAUGGAACAACAUCUGGAAGUGGCCACUUCUGUGUACAGAAAACCCAAUUUGGCCUGUAAUUAUAGUCUCACCAUCAAGCCUACAUUGCAGUAACAAUUCAUUCUCCCAACUUCAAGAUUCCACAUAGUGCUGGACAUCCAUAGAGUCGAAGAAGAUCUGUUGAAUGUUUAUAGCUGCCAGUCUGCUCUGGCAGUCAGACCACCUUGGAUCAUUGCUUUCUCAUCCACGAAGUGGAGAAGGUCGAGUCGAUGAUGUUGAAGAUCUGUGGUCCUGGAGUUACCAAUCUAUAGUCCUUUGGCUUACAAGAAUAAGAAUAAAAACAAUUAAUGACAUC